rnacentral:rRNA from 1 species
UGACCUCAAAUCAGGUANGACUACCCGCUGAACU